rnacentral:lncRNA from 10 species
UUUUUUUUUUUGAGACAGGCUCUCACUCUGUUGCCCAGACUGGAGCGCAGUGGUGCGAUCUCAGCUUACCACAACCUCCGCCUCCCAGGUUCAAGCAAUUCUCCUGCCUCGGCCUCCCAAGUAGCUGGGAUUACAGGCGUGUGCCACUACUGCCUGGCUAAUUUUUGUAUUUUUUAGUAGAAUGGGGUUCCACCAUGUGGGCUAGGCUAGUCUCAAACUCCUGACCUCAAAUGAUCCACAUGCCUCGGCCUCCCAAAGUGCUGGGAUUACAGGCAUAAGCCACUGCAACUGGCCUCCCAUCUUUUAAUUUACCUGUAAAACUUUGUCUUAGUCAGCUUGGACUGCUAUAACAAAUUACCAGUUCUAGAGGCUGGGAAGUCAAGAUCAAGAGAUCAAAGCAACAGCAAAUGUGCUAUCUGGUGAGUGCUCAUUCUUCUGGUUUAUAAAUGGCAUCUUCUAGCUGUGUUCCCACAUGGUAGAAAAGGCAAACAAGCUUCCAUCAGGCCUCUUUUAUAAGGAUGCUAAUCUCAUUCAUGAAGGCUUCACUCUAAUUAAUCGGUCACCUUCCAAAAGGCCCCACCUCUUAAUACUAUCACACUGGGGAUUAGGUUUCAAUAUGAAUCUGGGGGGGUGACCCAAACAUUCAGACCAUAGCUGCCCUCCUCCGGGUUCAGACUGCCAUUUUCUUAUUGUAUCCUCACAUGGUGGAAAGAGUGCUAGAGAGCUCUUUAGGGUCCCUUUUAUAUGGGCAUUAGUCCCGUUGAUGAGGGUUCUACCCUCAUAACCUAAAUUAUCUCCCAAAGGCCGCACCUCCUAAUACAACUACAUUGGAAUUAGGAUUUUAAUAUAUGAAUUAUUUUGAUUGAUAUAUGCAUUUUGGAAGAACACAUUCGCUCAGUCCAUAUGAAGCCUCUUAUUGCUGGAACAUAACAAGAAUACCCAUUGUCAAAGGAAUCUGGGAAAUGAAAUUUGCGAAGUCUCAGUUCCAGCAUUAUAGGCAGAAUAUGGAAGGGUGGUUUAGAGAUGAGAUGCACUAGGUAAAGGACAGGCUUAUUAGGGGACCAUAUUGCUGGCAGCCUUGCUACUCCAGGACUCAUAGCCCUCUCUUCUUCCUGCAGCCCUCCCUUUCCUCUAACCUGAGGUAGCUCCGUUCUGCCCUUGGCCUUUCUUUUCCUUUUUAAAACUUUACUGUAAAUUGACAAAUCAUAAUUAUAUGUAUUUACAGAGUACAAAGCAAUAUUAUGAUAUAUGUAUACAGUGUGGAAUGAUUAAAUCAGGCUAAUGAACAUAUCCAUCAUCUCAAAUACUUAUCUUUUUUUGUGGUGAGAAUAUUUGAAAUGUACUCUCAGCAAUUUUGAAAUGUACAAUACAUUAUUAUUUACUGUAGUCACUAUUGCCCUUGGCUUUUCAAAUUCUCUCAAAUCCUCCAACUCUGUCUCUCAUCUGGAUCAUCUACAAUAAAUGCUGGUGUCCAUUAGAACCAGAGCCUGAAUCAUUAACAACCAAAAGAUUAGUUUUGAUCUCCUUGAGGACAGAUCUCCAAUCAGGUGAGGAUAAAUGUUUGCAUUCUGUCCUUAUAAGGAAGAGAAAAAGAAAGAAAACAAAGAGAUUACCUUCUGUAAUAAAGCAAAACAGCCAACUGUGACCACAAUCAUAAUACUGACUGUGCUAGGCUCAAUAAGGACCCCUGCUGAUAUCCACAGCUGAAUCCCUGGACUCUGCAGGGGUGUUACCUUACCUGGCCAAAGGGUCUUUGCAGGGUUGAUUAAGUUAAGGACUCUGAGAUGGGGGGAUUAUCCUGGAUUAUCUCAGUAAACCCAACAUCAUCUCAAGGGUUCUUUAUGAAAAAAUUAGGAGAGUCAGAGUUAGGGAUGAUGUGACCGCAGAAGAAGUCUGGGUUCUGUGAGACCGAGUCAGGGAAUGCGGGUGGUCUCUAGAAGCUGAAGAGGUCGGGAGACAGACUCUUCCCUAGAACCUUCAGAAGGAAUGCUGCCCUGCCAACACUUUGACUUCAGCUUAGAGAGUCAAACUUUGGACUUCCAGCCUCCAGAAUGAUGAAAAUGACGAGACUCAGAGAAGAAUUAAAUAGACUUUCUAGUCUGCCUGAGCAGGGUGGUCAGUAUGGACGCAGCUGGCACAUGGAGACCACCAAGAAGCCUGUGCUUCUAACCAUCAUGAGAACUGCCUCCACCUGGAUCCUGGCAACCAGCCCCAGGAAUAAGUCCUCCACACAUCCUUUAAGGAUAACAAAAGGCAAGCAGUUCUGAUUAUGUAUACAUAUUUACAUAUCAGCAAUUAAAGCAACGAAGUGCUGAAAAUAUGGCUGAAAUGGCACCUUGAAAUUUUGUUUAUGAUGUUAAUUUUUUGAGGACUUUUUUGAAAAACAAUUGUUGCAGAAGUAAACUUCAAACUGUGGAUUAACCUAUAAAUUCAGAAUCAAUGGAAUCAAAUAAAGUUUAAUUCCAUUUUUAUAUACAGACAUGAUACUUAAGAAUACAAGUCUAAGCAGAAUAUUAUUACUUUAAAAUUUAUAGGAAAUGAAAUCUUGGUAUCAGCCAGGAGACUGGUAGAGUUUUUGAGGACUACAGUCUUAAAAACAAAACAAAACCCUACUUUAAAAAAUUAAUAUACCCAUUUAUUUAAUAAAUAUGUACUGAAUCUGUUAUAU